AAUGCGGGAUCUGAGCCGCGUCUGCAACCUACACCACAGCUCAGGGCAACGCCGGAUCCUUAACCCACUGAGCAAGGCCAGGGAUCGAACCCGCAACCUCAUGGUUCCUAGUCAGAUUCGUUAACCACUGAGCCACGACGGGAACUCUGUCUGGGUUCUUUUUUUGGCGGGGAUAAGGAAGAUUUCGACCACCAUUUCAACUUCUUUAUUACUUUUUUCCCUUUUCAAGUGAUCUGCUUUUUUCACAGAAUGGUUUUGGCAUUUUAUAUUCUAAGGAAUGUAUUCAUCUAUAUUUUCAUUCAUUCAUUCACUUAUUUAUUUAUGUUUAGGACCACACCUGCGGCAUAUGGAAGCCCCCAGGCUAGGGGUUGAAUCAGAGCUACAGCUGCUGGCCUAAGCCACAGCCACACCAGAUCUGAGUCAUCUGUGACCUACACCACAGCUCUCGGUGACGGUGGAUCUUUAACCUCUUGAGCGAGGUCGGGGAUCAAACCCAUAUCCUCAUGAAUACUAGCCAGGUUCUUAACCCACUGAGCCACAACGGGAACUCAUCUAUAUUUUCAAAUUUACUACAUGUAUUUAUUUUUUGGCCAUACCCGCAGCAUCCCUAAGUCCCUAGGUCAGGGAUCAAACUCAAGCUACAGCAGUGACCCGAGCCAUAGCAGUGACAAUGCCAGAUCCUCAACCUGCUGCACCUUCCCAGGCUGGGGGUCGAAUCCGAGCUGUAGCCGCUGGCCUACAUCACAACUACAGCAAUGCAAAAUCUGAGCCGCGUCUGUGACCUACACCACAGCUCACGGCCAUGCCGGAUCCUUAACCUACCGAGCGAGGCCAGGGGUCGAACCCUCAUCCUCAUCGAUACUAGUCAGGUUUGUUACUGUUGAACCACAAUGGGAACUCCAAGUUUCAUUUCUGUUGAUGUUUGUAUCAGUAUCUCGGUUCCAUUCUCCUCUUGCUGGACAUUUGGGUGGUUCCUAGGUUUUUAGUUGCUAUGAAUGUACACACAAGCCCUUUUGUUGGCAUGUUUGCAUUUAUUCGGGGUUCUAAGAAUGGAAUUGCUUGGGCAUAGGGUAAGCGUGUGUUUACCUCUGAAACAGCCAAAGUUUUCCAGAGGGGCUGAAUCAUUGACUACUGCCAGCCAUGUAUGAGGGCUCCUUGUUGUGGGGUUUCUGGAAGCUGGGCUCUGGGGAGUGGGAAGAGGGAAGGGAACGUGGGAGUGUCUCCAGACGAGAGGCCACCCAUCCUGAGAUUAAGGCUCUCUCUGCUGGCUUCUACUCCUACUUCCCCUCCCUCUCCCUGACUUCCUCUCUCCCUGGGCAACAUGCCCAUCCCAGAUGAGCACCAGCCCACCUCUGGGGGCCAUUUUUCUCACCCCAUCCCCACAACUGGUAUGGGGUCAUGUCACAAUGCAUGCUAGCCAGCUGGGAAGGGGCUGGGCCAGUUGCUCUUCCUACACCACCUCCUUGUCUCACAAGCACAUGUGCCUUGGGGAGGGGCGGUUCCUGACCCCAUUUCACAGCCCAGCCCCACAAGGCCCAGAGAGGGCAGCCCCAGCUUCACGUCACACCUACAGUCAGCGUGUACACACAGGAGUACUUCUGAGUCACGGGACUGGACCCAAACGGUGGGGUGUCUCUGGGACCUGGGAUUGGCAGGCUGAUUUCUCCAGCUCCACGCCUCUGGGGUCAUCAUCCCUUUGAGGGCACAAGGCCCACCAGCACCAGAGUGUCCACUGUUCACUUAGAGAGGCCCUGGGGAAUCGUCCCUGGACCCAGGGAGGGCCAAGUACCAUUUAGCCUUGCGAUUAGACAUCGAGUGCAGCUUUGGGGUAGUGAGGCUAGGGGGUGGCGGCGGGGUGUGUGUGUGUGUGUCUCAGUCCUGGCUCUGACCCAGAGGGACUUAAGGUCUGACGGUGCCUUGGCGGUGCUGGAUUUCCUGGUACAGCACAACCGGCUGGACCCGACAAUGGUGAGGGUCUGUGACCAGGACCUUGUGUUUUGGGGUACAGGCCAGGACUCCAUGUUCUGCCCCAACCCCCACAAGCUGGGGAGCGGCCAUGUACCAGACACCGUGAAUGCCACCACUGUCACCCACCUCAGCUUGACAAGGCCCCUUGUCCAUCUGUGUUUACGUCCUUGUGUCUGCGUGGGACAUGAGAGACACUUGCAAGGUGUAGACUUUUUGGCUUUUAUUACAAAAAGAAGGUCAUGAUUCCAGCCCAGUUUUUCAACAAAAGUCACCAAGUCGCAUUCCGACUUGGUCAGAGCCUCUCUGGCUGGGGAGUGGGGCUGGCAGACAGGCACAGGGCCCUGCUCAGACCACCCAUCACUUUAUCAUUCUCCCCUGCCCCAGGCUAGACACCCAACAUUAAGUAGAAGCAGGUCUCCGAGCUGCUCACUGGGCCUCGUUGAAGCGGGUCACCAUUGUCUUGUGCAGCGUCUCCUUGUAGGACUCGGUUGAAGUGACCCCAUAGGAGCUACCUCGGGCACCCAAGCCGGAGCCUCGCACCCGCGUCUGGGCCUGUGUGAGGGAGGCAGAUUCUGUCAGGUUGGCCAGGGGCUGGGGCGACGGUGGGGAGCAGUGGAGGCUGGGGAUGGGACCCUGGGAGACACACCUCAAUGGGAGUCACGAUGCCCUGUUUCUUGCGGCCCAGGCCACUGCCCUCUUUCCAGCCCAUAGC
rnacentral:lncRNA from 1 species